CCUACGGGAGGCAGCAGUGGGGAAUAUUGGGCAAUGGGCGCAAGCCUUACCCAGCAAUACCGCGUGAGUGAAGAAGGUCUUCGGAUUGUAAAGCUCUUUGUACAGGGACGUACAGAUGACGGUACCUGAAGAACAAGCUCCGGCUAACUACGUGCCAGCAGCCGCGGCAAAACGUAGGGUGCGGGCGUUGUCCGGAAUGACUGGGCGUAAAGGGUUCGUAGGGGGGAUAAUAAGUUAGAAUGGAAAUACCCAGAGCUUAACUCGGAUGUUGCAUCUAAGACUGUUGGGCUUGAGUGCGGGAGAGGUUGAUGGAAUUCGUAGUGUAGCGGUGGAAUGCGUAGAUAUUAGGAGGAACACCAGUGGCGAAGGCGAUUAACUGGACCGUAACUGACGCUGAGGCACGAAAGUGUGGGUAGCAAACAGGAUUAGAUACCCCAGUAGUC
rnacentral:rRNA from 1 species